rnacentral:rRNA from 1 species
CCUACGGGGUGCAGCAGUGAGGAAUAUUGGUCAAUGGCCGGAAGGCUGAACCAGCCAUGCCGCGUGAAGGUCAGUGCCCUAUGGGCGUUAAACUUCUUUUGUGCGGGAGCAAUAAUGGUCACGUGUGGCCAGACGAGAGUACCGUACGAAUAAGCAUCGGCUAACUCCGUGCCAGCAGCCGCGGUAAUACGGGGGAUGCAAGCGUUAUCCGGAUUUAUUGGGUUUAAAGGGUGCGUAGGCUGUGAGGUAAGUCAGCGGUGAAAUGCCCCCGCUCAACGGGGUGAAGUGCCAUUGAUACUGCCUGGCUGGAAUGCGGAUGCCGUGGGAGGAAUGUGUGGUGUAGCGGUGAAAUACAUAGAUAUCACACAGAACACCGAUUGCGAAGGCAUCUCACGAAUCCGCGAUUGACGCUGAUGCACGAAAGCGUGGGUAUCAAACAGGAUUAGAUACCCUGGUAGUC